ensembl:lncRNA
AUUAGGUUUAUAAGUAUUUCCUCUACCAUUUCCUGUCAGGAAAACAUGGAAUAUAUCAACAUCUCUAUGUAGAUUUUUUUCCCUUCAGAAAGACACAUAUCUGAGAGGAGGAAAAAAACAUUGAAGCAACAACUUGGGAGCAUUUAGCAUUCAUUGUGAGAUGUGGAAUUUCUUUUGAAAUAAAGCUUUGUACAUUUUAUCUUUUCAUCUACAUCCUGAGCUGCAGAAAUUUGAGGCAGAAUUGAGAACUAUCCUAAAAUAAACAAGCCUUCUCCUGAAUGUGCUUUGUUCUCCAUUUCACCGAGGCUGGAAAAAACUAUGUGUGAAUGAGAUGCAGUCAAAUGAACCUGCAUUUUUUAGUAGCCAGAAUUAAAAAGAAAGGAAAAUUACUGGCUAAGACAGUCCUCAGUUCAGAUUUGAGACAGAGACAUGCAAUGUGUCCUGCCUGUGGAUGGUCACUCACUGAAAAAAAAGUACACCCAGAUGAAAACAAAGUGGUACCUAAUGCCUGAAUGACCAGCUAACUGAACAGGAUUGAUUCAAGAAAGACCUUCAGAGAAACCAGCCAUGGUUUAAUGCCUUAACUUAUGGCACAUGUUGUGUUCCAAGACAGCACAGCACACAUUACUGGAGUCUGGAUUGUUGCAUUACUCCCACCAACUCUUUUGUCCAUGUAGAGUAAAUCUGUGUAUGCAUCACACUGACUAGAGAUUUAAGCCUGGUUUAUUAGAACUCUGUCCACCUGCCUCACCUGGUAUGGGCCAAUAGAUAAAGCUGGUCUUCUGCAACAUGGUGUCUGGGUUUGUCUUCCAUCCAACCAGACUGAGAUCAAUGGAUUUAUUGGGUCCAUUCAUCGCACAAGAAAACUAGAGAUCUCUCAAGCUUCAAAGGUCCUUUAAAAUGAACAGACCACUUUACAGAGGGCUGAGUCCAAAAGUGUUACAAACAAAAGCAAACCAAGUCAUUUAACACUGCCUAUACAGUGCCUUAGUGUAAAUAAAUAUAUCAGCCGAAUUUUCGACUUUCAUGAUGGGUGGAAGUAUUCCAUGUUAAGGCAGUUCAUACUUCUCAACCUUCAGCUUUUUGCAGACAAGAUCAAGACACAUUAAGAGGAAUGAUCAGUGAAUUUCCAUCUGCCUCUUAUUCUCUGCAUCCCUUCUUCAAACGCCAGGGCAUUCAAGAACAAGUGAACCUCAGCUGCCCUAAGGCAAAUGCUGGAAGAGAUUCUCAUGACCUCCAGAUUCUGGCUUAGAUACCUGUAAUCUGGCCACUAUUCACUUCAGCCCAAAAAUGUUUUGUAAAUCUGGCCCAGGCGUGCUUUUGAUAGACCUGUCAGUACUUCAGCUGGAAGGCAAUUGUAAUUUUGAAAUUACUGAAAAUGUGAUAAAAUUAUUUUGCAGCUCACCAGCUUAUAAAUUCAUCAAUUUCCUCCUCAUACAAUUUUUUAUGCAUCACUUACAGUUAAAUUGGUAACAUAGAAAUUAUAGAAAAUUGGCCAACUGAAAAUUGUAUAAACAAUACUAAAUAUGAGCCCUGAUGCUUUCAAAAGAGAAGUCAGUGCUUACUUUGGCUGGGUAGUCAGCAAUUAUUAAAGAGCAAGUAAGGUGAAGAACAGUUGGCACAAGACAGGUAGCAUUCUCCUUUAUGGAUGAUGGGAAUUUCUGUAUACAUGAGAAUGCACAGUACCUACCUCCUACCCCCACAUCUUUCUGCCCCUGUUGCCCUUGUUGAGGGCCUAAAGAAAGGGAAAGAUAUAUUGAAAUCUGAUAUAUGAGGUGUCUAAUUUGGACAGGCUAAAUCCAUUCCGUGCUCCUAUCUGAAAUUUUGACCUAUAUUCUGAAGAUAAAUUAAAUAAAUCUAAAUAACUGAUGAGUUUCUUAGUCCCUAAAUUCUUAGGGAACCUAUCAUAGAAUUCUAGAGGGUUUUUCUUUUUUUUUAGUGACAAAAGCUUAGAAAUAAUGUGGCAUGAAGUUCUCACAGAAGUGUUAUUUCACAUGAGGUUUCUGCCUUGUUCACUUUAACAUACUGGUCAUAUUGCUAAAUACUUUCAUCUUAGUCCUUCAUAAUUUGCAUUCUUUCCUGCACUCCUACAUUUGCUGUUCUCCAGCCUUAGGCACACCAUGUCCUUCAUCUCACUCUCUGCAUGUGUAUUUACUGUACACCAAUCAAUCAAAGAGUCAAGUAAUAACAUCUUUCAUAAACUCCCAGCAUAUCAGUAAAAAAGACCAGCAAAAAAAUCUCGCUAGACAAAAUGAAUAGGUGUACUUAUUCUAUCUGACAAACUAUUUAACUGGCCUAACCUUUACUAGAAGUAAGUGACCCUGACAGCUAAAUACAACCUGGUGGGGGAAAAAAAGUAAUUAAAUAAUCAAAUAAGAGUAUGUAAGAAAUUAAUAGGUGAACACCAUCUCUGCUGAAGGAAUCAGCACUUCCAGACACAUUUUUGUUUUUGCAAAAUGAAAAAUGUACCGGAAAACACUGUAUUCAGCAGAUAAAAAAAGGAUUAAAACAGUCCCUAAAAUUCAACAUUUUAUAGUUUUAUAUGUUGUAGUCUGGCAUGGAGAAGACCCAUUCUAAAUAGUAUUGCUAAUACUUAUCCUCCAAACCCUGAGUACAAAAGCAAUUAUAUUUUUUAUGAUGAACUUCAUAUAGUCCUGGAUUGUGGGAAGAUGCUGGUGGAGAUCCUGAGUAAGAUAUUAUAUUACAUAAGCCUGAAUAUUUUUUUAUAGUUCAUUUAAAAAUAUACAUUAAAUAAAAUUAAGAGCUAUGUACAACACCAAAUAGUUUUCUAAUUCUUUCCUUCCAUGUAGAAGGGAAUGGCUAUCCAUAGUCUUGCCAUUUUUGACUUUCAUUAUUGGAAUAAGGAUGGAUUUAAUUACAUAUCUAGGUGUCAUUAUACUAACUUUAUUUCCUUUUCUGCUUCAGUUUGAGCUUUUUUGAAAAGUGAAAAGUCGAUAAAAGGAAGUUAAGUAAACUUGCAAUUUGAAGUAUGAAAAUGUUCUGUGGUAAGAGAUUGGACAGCAAAUCUCCAAAGAGAAAACUCAUUAACAAUACACAAGCCCUGAAGAAGUGGAAGUUUUUCUGAAAAAUCGGUAUCAGUUCAACCUGAAAUUAACUGUGAGGUAGGAGCAGAUGAAUAGAAUGAUGUCUAAUGAAUGAAUGCCUGUUUUUAAAUAAAUGUCUGCAUUAAACUGACAUAGUUGUAUGUAUUUUCUAAUCCAUGCAAUACAAAUGCAAAUCUUCUCUUAGAAAAUGAACCCAAUCUUUUUAUUUAAUUCAAAGGCCGUCUUCCUUUUGAUGAAGCAUUUCUCAAAAAUAAAUAUUAACGGGUGAGAGGAAUGAGCAAAUCAAAUGACAGACAUAGCAAAGUGGGUACCUCAUCACAAAGGCUGGAAGUCAGUUCCUUCACAAUAGACCUAAAUCAGAUAAAGUGCAUGCUUCAAAAACAAUGAAAAAAAAUGAAGUUACCUGGUCAGAAUCUAGAUGGAGUCAAUCAAAAGUAGAUUUUCUUGUUUGUAUUUGUUCCUUUUCCUUUGCUUAGAGAAGGAUAGAAGAUCCAGUAAAACUGAUUACUUUCUAACUACAAAAGAUUAGUGUUAAUUUUGAAAAGAGUAAUUUGAAAUAAGGCAAGCAUAUUUUGCUAAAAUUAUCACUAGUGGGUAAUUCUUUCCGUGAAACAAAAAUUCAAUUUCACAGGAUUGCAUUUUUCUCAGUAAAGGAACAUAAUAAUUAAUUUCAAAUUUCUAUGUGGUUAAAUGGAGAAACAGUUUUUCUAGGUAGUGUAUACAAAAGCAGAUCAGACUCUACAUAACUGAGUCAGACAUCAUCACAUGCAAAAGUUCAGGCCAAUAAACAGGGGACGGGAAAGAAAAGACAACACAGACUCAGGAAAGGUGAUUGGCAGAUAUUUGUCCAUGAAAAUGUGAAAGGGCUCACACUGUCGGAGGGGUAUCUCCCAGGCAACCACACCUUAGGGAGAAAUGGCAACAAAUACAAAAUGCAGCUGCUAUAUCUGACAUAUUCAUAAUAUUCUAUUUCUUUAUUCAUUAGCUUGGCUG